rnacentral:tRNA from 1 species
GGUUGCAUUGUGUAAGGGGCAGUACACAGGACUUUGAAUCCUGUAAUCUGAGUUCAAAUCUUAGUGGGACCA